rnacentral:rRNA from 1 species
GAUGAACGCUAGCUACAGGCUUAACACAUGCAAGUCGAGGGGCAGCACAUGAGUAGCAAUACGAUGGUGGCGACCGGCGCACGGGUGAGUAUCGCGUAUGCAACCUACCUUCCACAGGGGGAUAGCCUUCCGAAAGGGAGAUUAAUACCGCAUAAAACAGGGGCCCCGCAUGGGGAUAUUUGUUAAAGAUUUAUCGGUGGGAGAUGGGCAUGCGUUCCAUUAGCUAGUUGGCGGGGUAAUGGCCCACCAAGGCAGCGAUGGAUAGGGGAACUGAGAGGUUUAUCCCCCACACUGGAACUGAGACAAGGUCCAGACUCCUACGGGAGGCAGCAGUGAGGAAUAUUGGUCAAUGGGCGGGAGCCUGAACCAGCCAAGUCGCGUGAAGGAAGACGGUUCUAUGGAUUGUAAACUUCUUUUGCACUGGGGUAAAACGGGGGACGUGUCCCCCCUUGCAAGUACAGUGCGAAUAAGCAUCGGCUAACUCCGUGCCAGCAGCCGCCGUAA